GAGUGGGUGUGUCUCGGUUCACUGUACGCGCUUCAUUACGCAGUAUUCACACACACGGACGUACGUACGUGGGCGCGUGUGUGUGUGUGUGUGGGUCUGCGAGCUGUGCCGAUCGGGGGAGGACUGCCUCCGCCUUCCACCACCGCCAACCACCUUUGCUCCUCAGCUCGUCUGGCGCACGGCUGUCUCCAUGUUUCUUCUCCCGCCACGCGCAUCGCCGUCACCGUCUUCUCAGUCAUGCAGACAACGAACUCACUUCUCGUCUCGAGAGCCGUGGCGCGCCUAUGCGCCGUCCUCGGCGAUGAGCUUUUCCCGGUCGUGAUUUGGCUUUCCAUGUUUGGCGCCACGCGUCUCGCACCCUCCCUGGUGCUGCACUUAUCAAUGUCUCUCCCGCAGGUGAUGGACGUGCCGCGGCUGCUGCUGUGGCGACGAAGGCGCGGCGUCUACGACGGUGCCCCGAACAGCAGUUAUUUGGGCUCAAGCAUCAGCGCCGCUGCCGACGCCGCCGCCGCACAUCUUGCGGAGCUGAUCAAGAACACACCUCCGGGCUCCAGCAGCGACGGUAUUCUCCUCGGUGGCGGCAGCAGCAGCAGCAGCAGCAGUGGAGCUUACGACGCAGCGCUCCGCGCGUCGUGGCAGCGUAUUUACCAUCAGUCGCUCGAGGUGCUUGUCUCCCUCGUCACGUACCCGACACGUUUGUGGACGUAUUUUCUUUUCCAGCGCAGCCAGCGCGCGUCGCUCAGGGAUGCAGCUGCCGCAGCGCGCGGUGGCGGGAACGGCCGAGCAGCGGUGGCGGAGCUUCUCGUGCGCCUUGUGACUAGCUUCACCUCCACGUGGAUUCACGCGAGCGGCAGCAUGCUCUUUGACACCAUCGUCACUUACCUCAGUACUCGCAUCGGCAGCUGGGGCAGCGGCAGCGUCGGUGGUGGCAACGCCAUCGGAGGCAGUGGCAGACGCCACAGCGGCUGGCGUGACCUGCUCGUCGCGUCGUGCGUGUCAACCGGGCUCAACUUUGCACUGCAGACGUACUGGGUAGAGGCACUGACGAGCAUGGGCGAGCUGCGGGCGCUGCCGCUGGCGACCACAGCUCGAGAGGCGCUGUCGCUGUCCUUCAGCGAGCGGAUGCAGCUUGCGCUCUCAGCCCUCUCUCGGCUAGGCGGCAAGGAAUUCCUGUACCGCUUGUGCCGCGUGGCGCUGCAGCCGCAGCCGGACCAGCGGACUAGCCCCGCCGAGGGGGAGCAGGUAUACGCGUCACCGCUGUCGCCCUCAAACACAGCAGCGCUGCAGCCACGCACUCGCGCAGCCGAUUCUUCGUUGCUGUCCUCCCCAGCUUCUGCUACGCCGCGAGCGCAGUCCCAGCCGGCGCGUGCAUAUCUGUGUGGCGGCAACGCCUUCGUCUUCGCCCUCAGCGGCUUUCGCUUUUCCUACUACGGCGACCCGCAGCAGUUCACGACGGCUGCGUCCAACUGCAUUACGGACGCCUUGGACCUCGUGCUGCGGCAGGCGCGCCAGCGGGCCGCGGCGCAGAACGGCCGUGUGACAGAGGCGCUGCUGGAGGGGCAGGUGUGGCGACCACCCGUGUCGUCGUCGUCCUCAUACAGCCACGACGUCGUUCUCGCUCCCGCCGCCUCCCUGCAGCUCCUCCCUGUGUAUAUAGCGAACUUUGCCGUUGGCGCCGGUGUCGGCCUUGUGUGGCGAAGGCGCCACCUCCUCGCCGCAGCCCGCCGUGUGCCGCUGCUGAGAAGAGUUGUGAAGCUGCUAUUCCCGCUGCCGCCGCCGCCACUACGGCUGCCUGAGGCGUUGCAGGAGCUGAGCCCGGAGUGCCAUGUGCUGCUGGUGCACCCGGAUGGCCGGGUCGAGGUUUCCGGGAACGCGCCGCUGCCGGAGUCUAUUUCGAAGGCUGAUGCGCCGGCAGCGACGACGACGAUGAUGCCAGACACGCCCUCUGCGGAUGCCUCUCCCUCGCCACGAAUAACACGCAUUGUGGUCGCGCAGGACUUGUUCUGCCCUAUCAAGCGCACACUGAUGUGUGACCCGGUGCAGACCGCUGACGGUUUCACGUACGACCGUGACAGCAUCGAGGAGUGGCUGCUGGCGCAUGACACGGCGCCGCUCACGAACUUGCAUCUCGAUAACACGACGCUGCGUGUGAACUGGAGAGCGCGGCAGCUAAUCAGCGGACUUGUCCUGCAGUACACCGCUGCAGCAGGAAUCACAAGCAUCUGAGGAGGCCAGUGAGCGCCAAAGGGCGGACUUGAUGGACGGGGGAGAGGGAGGAGGGUGAGGGUUUCGGAGGACGCAGGAGAGAGAAUUUCGGCGAAUGUGCGUUUAUGUGUGCGCCCCCUCCUCCUCCCUGCGUACGGGUCUGCGCCGGCUGCUCCAUAUUAUGUGCUUUAUCACCGGUCACCGUCUUGACGAAUCGCCGAUCGCGGCGACGACGACGACGACGACACACGCACACAGGUGUUUUUUUCUGUUGACACGCUUGCUUGAUUCUCUGUCUCCGUCUCUGUCUCUAUGUGUGCGUAUACGGCACCCUCUUUCUCCUCCGCUUGCUCUGUGUCUGCCUCUCUACUAUCAACCAAUCUGCCCCUCCCCCUUCCACAUGUCUGCGUAUUUCUCUCACGUCCGCACCACCCCCACCUCUCCUCUCCAUGCACUCACCCUCGUUCCGUCUCCUCGAUCGGCGAGGGGCCUUAUCCCCGCCUUCAUCAUGCGUACACAGACACGUACAACACACCGACGGCAGAGCUCCGCAUAUGAGCUUACGCAUGCGUGAGAGAGAGCAGGCGCGUGUCUGUGCGGGGGUCGGCCUGCCUUUGAUGGCGUCUGGUCGCCGCUGCUGAGGAGACUGUUUCUGCUCCUCCUCCAUCUUCGUGCACAGCCGUGCCGUCGCGGGUGCGUCAACACGUGGCUGGUCGCCCUUUACUUUAAUGCUUCGCCUUCUCGCCCUCGAUGACGUGGGAGGUUACACCAACCCCCCUCCCCCCUCCCACCACACACGCACACAUGCCUCUCAGUGCGUGCUGUCUCAGGCUCCAGUACAGCCCCACUCUCUCUGCCUGGGGAGAAGCCAAAGCAGCCCCCCUCCCCUCCCCUCCCCUCCUAUGCCUGCCGAAUGCCGAACUCGCCUCUGGUGUGUGACAGGGUCAGGUGUCUGUGACGUAGGCGGAGGUCCGCGCGAUGCAUCGCUGCUGAUGUCGGCGGUGAGGGCCUGGAUGGCGUUGCGUCGGGGCGACCUGCGACCGUGCACACUCCUGCACACCGUCUAUGUGAUGGGCGAAGUGCCAGCGUGGCUCAAACGCACCCCGCACGGCCCUCACACUGACCACUGGUGGGGGGCAGCCUGAGCGCCACGCCGAGGGGGAUGCACCAGGGGUGGCGACCGGCACAAUGGGGGAGCGGCUGCGAGGCGACCUGCUCGGCGGGCAUGUGGGCUGGGCUCGAGGCAGAGGCGGUGCUGAGACGACUGGGUCGGCGCAUUGCUGCCGUGCGCGCGUGCGCCCAGGGCUGCUUGGCACCAGGCGGAUGGGGCACCUGUGGCAGGGGUCUGUGGUGGUGCGCGGUGGGCGGAGCGGCAUGGCGUGACGUUCGAGCUCGCGUUGCAUGGCGGAGAGUGAGCAUGCUGAAGGAAUGUCUUCUUGCUACCCCCGCUGCAGUGCCGGCUGGGGGCGGGGCGGAGAGGAAGGGGUGAUGUUAACAGCGAGAGGACAGACACGACAUCACCAUUUUCACGACGAAGAAACCAAAGAAAUGCGUCGGCUGCUCAUCCCUUUACUCCGCCGUGGGUGGC
rnacentral:misc_RNA from 1 species